AGUGAACGCUGGCGGUAGGCCUAACACAUGCAAGUCGAACGGCAGCACAGUAAGAGCUUGCUCUUACGGGUGGCGAGUGGCGGACGGGUGAGGAAUACAUCGGAAUCUACUUUUUCGUGGGGGAUAACGUAGGGAAACUUACGCUAAUACCGCAUACGACCUACGGGUGAAAGCAGGGGAUCUUCGGACCUUGCGCGAUUGAAUGAGCCGAUGUCGGAUUAGCUAGUUGGCGGGGUAAAGGCCCACCAAGGCGACGAUCCGUAGCUGGUCUGAGAGGAUGAUAGGCACAACUGGACUGAGACACGGUCCAGACUCCUACGGGAGGCAGCAGUGGGGAAUAUUGGACAAUGGGCGCAAGCCUGAUCCAGCCAUACCGCGUGGGUGAAGAAGGCCUUCGGGUUGUAAAGCCCUUUUGUUGGGAAAGAAAAGCAGCAGGUUAAUACCCCGCUGUUCUGACGGUACCCAAAGAAUAAGCACCGGCUAACCUCGUG
rnacentral:rRNA from 1 species